CGCGUUUCCCUAGGUGAGAACCGUAGAGGCCGGAAAUCGCAAUUUUUCGACAAACUGCCCGUUUACGUUUGGUGCCGUAACAGGAGCGUCCGACCUCCGAUUGCCGUGAUUUUUUGACCGAAGGUUCGCCAUUUCAUGGGUAUUCUGAAUAUGUGGCGCGUGUAUCUUUUGGAGCUUCGUACGAGAAUUAAUUUCAAAAUCAGUUUCGGGCUGCACUUUUUCCAAAGUUUCAAUUCCGGCGAAAUUGGACGUCGAGGACACCACCCCAGGGGUUUUUGGGCCUUCUGAGUUCAUUGGUGGUGGUCCCAUAUCCAAAUUCUGAUCAGAAGUGGGUGUUUCGAUGACAUUGGGAUUCGUGCCAUGAUUUUUCAAACUUAGAUCUAUUGACUUGGGGGUUGAAUCUGAUAUUGGUGUUAUAGGAGAUGUUUGGGUGGUUGUUGGUGAUGAUUUUCCACCACUUGGAGUGGUGCAAUCUGGUGGUUUCGGUGGUGGAUCAGGUUUGUUUGAGUUUUGGAGGUUUUCUCCCAUUCUAGAGAGAAGGGAGAGCGUUUUGGAGGUAGAGAGAGAAAGUGUUGGUUUGGUUUAGGGUUUUGAAU
rnacentral:lncRNA from 1 species